UUGAUAUUGGUCUAGCUAUGGGCUUCAAGGAACAGGGUCGCCAAAUAAAGCUUGAUGUCAUAAUACUGGAUGAUAGUUUUGUUGUUGUAAAGGUUUGUGUAUUGACGCGUUGUCAUCUUUUACUGGAAGUUUUCAGGCUCCUUUUCUUAUUAAAGUUUCAGCUCUUUCAACCACCGGGGGAGUAUAUAUCUCAGUAAAAAUUCCUUAUGAGUAUGACAUGCUCAGCUUAUUUGGUCAUGUUUAGCUUCAUAUCAUUGGAAUAAUUGAUAUAUGAUAUUGUAAUGGAUAUUCAAGGCUUACAGUUGAAAAAGUUAGGAUAUUCAAGGCUUACAGUUGAAAAAGUUAAGUUUCGUCAUGAUAUGCCACUUCAAAGUCAUCUAAAGGGCAUCCCCACCGUGAGUAACAGAUAUUCAAGUCUUACAUUUGUUAGGUUUAUGCUGGUGCCUUAGAAGAUAUGGAUUCCUUAACUUCUAGCGAGGUUUCUUCGUCAUUGAUUGUACAUAGAGUACAGUAAUCGAAUAGCUCUUAUAACUUUCUGACUCCUAACUUAUUGAUUGUUGUAAUAAGAGAUUGUGUGUGUGUGUGGAUAUAAAUCUUAGGCUACACUCUGCUCUGUAAUUCAUUUGUUACUGCUAAGAAGUUUAGCCAAAUUCAAAUGGAUAAGGAUGUGAGGAA